AGGACUUGUUCUCUCUGUUGAGGACAGAUAUGCCCUAAAACACAAGCCCGCCAAUCUGAUCCUCAUUACCCCAAUUUCCCCCUUUUGAUUUUCCCCAAACUUCACAAGCCCGCCAAUCUGAUCCUCAUUACCCCCCAAUUUCUUCCCCUUUUCCCCAAUUCGUGACACACCGUCACCAGCUGCUACUCCCCUCGAUUGCACUACCUCCCUCGUCGCACCACCUCUGCCGUAGCUGUCCCACCUCCACCAUCACCGACCCACACUGCCACCUUGGGAGAGAGAGAGAUUGACGACGAUGGUGGCGAAUCUCCGCCCUAUUCAUCACCACACUGCCACCUUGACCAUCGCCCAACCCCCAGCGCACCUCCCCCGCCAACCCCUCGAAAACACCACUUUAAACCCCCAAAUUGUCAGAGAUUUUUGAUUCAAGAAGCAAAAACUCAUCUCCUAUGGGCUCCAAGCAACCUGGCUUCGAUGACGACGCAAGCCCCGGGUACCUUAGUUAACUAUUUUACAAAGUAUGGAGACCUGAUGGAUUUGGUUAUCAUGAAAGAUCGAUAGACUGGUCGUCUAAGGGGCUUUGGGUUUAUUAAGUAUGCGGAUCCUUCGGUUGUUGACACUGUUAUUGCUGAGACAAAUGUUAUUAAUGGGAAACAAGUCAAACUUAUUGACUUCUCUCUUGGUGAGAAAUCUUUGGUUACUUGCAGCAGUCAUGAACCAAGCAACCCUCGCGACCCUCAUAGAGUAGUGCUUAAUUUGAUGCGAGAACUGGAAAAAUAAUGAAAGAUUUCAACGAAAGGGCAGAUGAGUUUGCGUUUGGAGAAACCGGCGGUUUCACUGGGGUUUCUUGGCCUGUUUUCAGCUAUGGGAAAGAGAAGUUGAGUCUGGAAAGACAGAUCUACUGAAAUGCUGUUGAUUUUUAGUCCUAAACCACUUAAUAUUGCUGUACAGAAUGGUAGCGAUCAUGACACGGGUUUGAUGGCAGAUGUUGGCAGUGAUCAGGAAGAUCAUUCAGUUGCUGUAGCGAAGCACAUAGAAGUUGCAGAUAAAUAUGACGUCGGGGAAUACGGUGACUUUCUUUCAUCCAAGGUUUCAUUUAUUUGGUUGUUUUAUGUUUGACUUAAACAAAAAUUCGAACUAGUUAACUUUUAUGUACUUUUAUGUGUAUACAUGUACACAUCAGUGGUUUCGUAUGUAUUCGGGAAAAUUGGUUAUAGCACUAAAAUGUAAUUUUUUUUUUACUAUUUUUCGACUUUUAGUGGCGACAA
rnacentral:lncRNA from 1 species